GGCUAGGUGGUGGAAUGGUAGACACGCCAGACUCAGAAUCUGGUGAGCGCAACGCUCGUGAGGGUUCAACUCCCUUCCUGGCCA
rnacentral:tRNA from 2 species